rnacentral:rRNA from 1 species
GACGAACGCUGGCGGCGUGCUUAACACAUGCAAGUCGAACGGAAAGGCCCUGCUUUUGUGGGGUGCUCGAGUGGCGAACGGGUGAGUAACACGUGAGUAACCUGCCCUUGACUUUGGGAUAACUUCAGGAAACUGGGGCUAAUACCGGAUAGGAGCUCCUGCUGCAUGGUGGGAGUUGGAAAGUUUCGGCGGUUGGGGAUGGACUCGCGGCUUAUCAGCUUGUUGGUGGGGUAGUGGCUUACCAAGGCUUUGACGGGUAGCCGGCCUGAGAGGGUGACCGGCCACAUUGGGACUGAGAUACGGCCCAGACUCCUACGGGAGGCAGCAGUGGGGAAUAUUGCACAAUGGGCGGAAGCCUGAUGCAGCAACGCCGCGUGCGGGAUGACGGCCUUCGGGUUGUAAACCGCUUUCGCCUGUGACGAAGCGUGAGUGACGGUAAUGGGUAAAGAAGCACCGGCUAACUACGUGCCAGCAGCCGCGGUGAUACGUAGGGUGCGAGCGUUGUCCGGAUUUAUUGGGCGUAAAGGGCUCGUAGGUGGUUGAUCGCGUCGGAAGUGUAAUCUUGGGGCUUAACCCUGAGCGUGCUUUCGAUACGGGUUGACUUGAGGAAGGUAGGGGAGAAUGGAAUUCCUGGUGGAGCGGUGGAAUGCGCAGAUAUCAGGAGGAACACCAGUGGCGAAGGCGGUUCUCUGGGCCUUUCCUGACGCUGAGGAGCGAAAGCGUGGGGAGCGAACAGGCUUAGAUACCCUGGUAGUCCACGCUGUAAACGGUGGGUACUAGGUGUGGGGUCCAUUCCACGGGUUCCGUGCCGUAGCUAGCGCUUUAAGUACCCCGCCUGGGGAGUACGGCCGCAAGGCUAAAACUCAAAGGAAUUGACGGGGCCCCGCACAAGCGGCGGAGCAUGCGGAUUAAUUCGAUGCAACGCGUAGAACCUUACCUGGGUUUGACAUGGAUCGGGAGUGCUCAGAGAUGGGUGUGCCUCUUUUGGGGUCGGUUCACAGGUGGUGCAUGGCUGUCGUCAGCUCGUGUCGUGAGAUGUUGGGUUAAGUCCCGCAACGAGCGCAACCCUUGUUCACUGUUGCCAGCACGUUAUGGUGGGGACUCAGUGGAGACCGCCGGGGUCAACUCGGAGGAAGGUGGGGAUGACGUCAAGUCAUCAUGCCCCUUAUGUCCAGGGCUUCACGCAUGCUACAAUGGCUGGUACAGAGAGUGGCGAGCCUGUGAGGGUGAGCGAAUCUCGGAAAGCCGGUCUCAGUUCGGAUUGGGGUCUGCAACUCGACCUCAUGAAGUCGGAGUCGCUAGUAAUCGCAGAUCAGCAACGCUGCGGUGAAUACGUUCCCGGGGCU